rnacentral:rRNA from 1 species
GACGUAGGGCGCGAGCGUUGUCCGGAUUUAUUGGGCGUAAAGAGCUCGUAGGCGGCUCGUUGCGUCGGCUGUGAAAACCCGCAGCUCAACUGUGGGCUUGCAGCUGAUACGGGCGGGCUGGGAUUCGGUAGGGGAGACUGGAAUUCCUGGUGUAGCGGUGAAAUGCGCAGAUAUCAGGAGGAACACCGGUGGCGAAGGCGGGUCUCUGGGCCGAUAUUGACGCUGAGGAGCGAAAGCGUGGGGAGCGAACAGG